rnacentral:rRNA from 1 species
UAGCCAUGCAUGUCUAAGUAUAAGUAUUAUACAGCGAAACUGCGAAUGGCUCAUUAAAACAGUUAUAGUUUAUUUGAUAAUCGAAUUUACAUGGAUAACCGUGGUAAUUCUAGAGCUAAUACAUGCUGGUGUGCCCGACUUUUGCGGAAGGGCGGUAUUUAUUAGAUAACAAGCCAAUAUUCCUCUGGUCUAUUGUGGUGACUCAUAAUAACUGAUCGAAUCGCAAGGCCUUUGGCCGCGAUAAGUCAUUCAAGUUUCUGCCCCAUCAGCUUUCGAUGGUAGUGUAUUGGACUACCAUGGCGUUUACGGGUAACGGAGGAUUAGGGUUCGAUUCCGGAGAGGGAGCCUGAGAAACGGCUACCACAUCUAAGGAAGGCAGCAGGCGCGUAAAUUACCCAAUCCUGACUCAGGGAGGUAGUGACAAGAAAUAACGGACCGAGGCCUUCGGGCUUCGGGAUUGGAAUGAGCCGAAUUUACACCCCUUAGCGAAGAUCGAUUGGAGUGCAAGUCUGGUGCCAGCAGCCGCGGUAAUUCCAGCUCCAAUAGCGUAUAUUAAAGUUGUUGCAGUUAAAAAGCUCGUAGUUGGAUUUCUGGGAGGGUGCCGAUGUCCGCUUAACGUGUGUGCAGCGGCGCCCUCUCAUCCUUCUGUUAGCGUCUCUUGGCAUUCAUUUGCUGGUGGCGGGCUCAGAUAUUUUACCUUGAGAAAAUUAGAGUGUUUCAGGCAGGCUAGGCCGGAAUACAUUAGCAUGGAAUAAUGGAAUAGGACUACGGUCUCUUUGUUGGUUUGAGGGACUGCAGUAAUGAUUAAUAGGGAUAGUUGGGGGCAUUAGUACUUAACU